rnacentral:rRNA from 1 species
GACGAACGCUGGCGGCGUGCUUAAUACAUGCAAGUCGAACGAAGUGGCGCACGGGUGAGUAACGCGUAAUCAACCUGCCCUUCAGAGGGGGACAACUGUUGGAAACGACUGCUUAUACCGCAUACUGAAGGAGGGUAUCUCGUUUGAUCAGCUAGUUGGAGGGGUAACGGCCCACCAAGGCGAUGAUCAGUAGCCGGUCUGGGAGGAUGAACGGCCAAAUUGGGACUGGGACACGGCCCAGACUCCUACGGGGGGGCGCAGUGGGGAAUCUUCCGGAAUGGGCGAAAGUCUGACCGAGCAACGCCGCGUGAGUGAUGACGGCCUUCGGGUUGUAAAGCUCUGUUAGUCAGGACGCGGUACCGGAAUAGAAAGCCACGGCUAACUACGUGCCAGCAGCCGCGGUAAUUC